AUGCAGUCGAGCGGUAACAGGGGAAGCUUGCUUCCCGCUGACGAGCGGCGGACGGGUGAGUAAUGCUUAGGAAUCUGCCCAGUAGUGGGGGAUAGCCCGGGGAAACCCGGAUUAAUACCGCAUACGUCCUACGGGAGAAAGCAGGGGAUCUUCGGACCUUGCGCUAUUGGAUGAGCCUAAGUCGGAUUAGCUAGUUGGUGGGGUAAAGGCCUACCAAGGCGACGAUCCGUAGCUGGUCUGAGAGGAUGAUCAGCCACAUCGGGACUGAGACACGGCCCGAACUCCUACGGGAGGCAGCAGUGGGGAAUAUUGGACAAUGGGGGCAACCCUGAUCCAGCCAUGCCGCGUGUGUGAAGAAGGCUUUCGGGUUGUAAAGCACUUUCAGUAGGGAGGAAAACCUUAUGGUUAAUACCCAUGAGGCUUGACGUUACCUACAGAAGAAGCACCGGCUAACUCCGUGCCAGCAGCCGCGGUAAUACGGAGGGUGCAAGCGUUAAUCGGAAUUACUGGGCGUAAAGCGCGCGUAGGUGGUUUGGUAAGCGAGAUGUGAAAGCCCCGGGCUUAACCUGGGAACGGCAUUUCAAACUGUCAGACUAGAGUGUGGUAGAGGGUAGUGGAAUUUCCUGUGUAGCGGUGAAAUGCGUAGAUAUAGGAAGGAACACCAGUGGCGAAGGCGGCUACCUGGACCAACACUGACACUGAGGUGCGAAAGCGUGGGGAGCAAACAGGAUUAGAUACCCUGGUAGUCCACGCCGUAAACGAUGUCAACUAGCCGUUGGGACUCUUGAAGUCUUAGUGGCGCAGCUAACGCACUAAGUUGACCGCCUGGGGAGUACGGCCGCAAGGUUAAAACUCAAAUGAAUUGACGGGGGACCGCACAAGCGGUGGAGCAUGUGGUUUAAUUUGACGCAACGCGAAGAACCUUACCUGGCCUUGACAUCCAGAGAACUUUCCAGAGAUGGAUUGGUGCCUUCGGGAACUCUGAGACAGGUGCUGCAUGGCCGUCGUCAGCUCGUGUCGUGAGAUGUUGGGUUAAGUCCCGUAACGAGCGCAACCCCUAUCCCUGGUUGCUAGCAGGUAAUGCUGAGAACUCCAGGGAGACUGCCGGUGACAAACCGGAGGAAGGUGGGGAUGACGUCAGGUCAUCAUGGCCCUUACGGCCAGGGCUACACACGUGCUACAAUGGCGCGUACAGAGGGCUGCCAACUCGCGAGAGUGAGCCAAUCCCUUAAAACGCGUCGUAGUCCGGAUCGGAGUUUGCAACUCGACUCCGUGAAGUCGGAAUCGCUAGUAAUCGCGAAUCAGAAUGUCGCGGUGAAUACGUUCCCGGGCCUUGUACACACCGCCCGUCACACCA
rnacentral:rRNA from 1 species